CUUUAGUUAACUAAGAUUUCUAAAUAUGGAAAUCUGACCGUGAUUUAUCCACUCAUAUAUCAUGCUAUUAGUAAAUUUUAAUUAAUUUAAAUAAUUAAAUGAAACCAGUAUAAUUACCAGUUGAGUAGAUAUUUCAUCCGAUUGGUAGAUAGUCUCAGGAACUUAUUUGGAUGUCUCUCUGCAUGGAGGUAUGUAGGAAUUUCUGAGUGUCCUAGAGUGGAUAUCUGUCAUAGGCCACUCUGCAUUGUUUCCGACUGCUCAUUUCUUUGCUUUCUUUGCAUACCCUUGCAUUCCUUUUUCCUACCUCCUCCUUCUCCUCCUCUCUCUUAACUUUUAAAGGGCCAGACUCUCUGUACGUCAUUAGUUGAUAACCCAAUAGGCACACUGGAGGUGUGGUUACCUCCCAGAUCGCAAUUUAGUAUUUGUUCUAUAGAGGGCAGUCUUGUCCCACUAAACAUACCUAUCCAGGAAACAGUUAACUUUUCCUGGUGGCUAUUUUGACAUCAUUUUGCUUUAUCUAUAUAUCUGCCAUAACUUAAGUUUUCUCUUAGUUUUGUCCAGACUUAGUGUCCGCAAUUCCUGCUAUAAUUUCUAAUAUGACAGUUCGUGAACUAAGUUUAACCUUAAACUUACAAUGGGAUCUUGUACAUAUAGAAAGUAAAAUUUUAUUAUUUAAUCUCCUCUGUCACAAAUGUCUGUAUUUAGAUAUGCAUCUAUUCCAUUAGCAUUUAGACACUCUAUCCAACCCCCGUUCGCCUUAUCACUUAGUUUGUAUAUACUAUGCAUUCCUUUAGCUCUGGGAAAGUGGUUAGUUUUACAGAUAGAAAUCUUGUGUCUUUUGUUAGCUUGAAAAUAACAAAAUGGAGUCUGCUCUGUUCAAAAGUGACUCAAAAUAUACACUUUUAAUUUCUAUCAUAGCACAAGAUGUCUGCCGAUAUAAAUACCCUGACAGGCUGGAUGGGAACCAUUGGUGGGCAGCCUUUUCCAGGUCACUCCAAAGAGGUUUGAGUUCAAGUCCAACUUGGGCUGACAACAUUCACAGAGUUAUCACUAAACCAAUAUCACGUUGUCUUGUCUGCGUACUUUGAGUCAUUGUCCUGUUGGAAUAUAAACCUUUGGUCCAGUAUGAGGUGCUGAGAGCUCGGAAACAUUUUCAUUAAGAUUAUCUCUAUAUUUGUUCAGCUUUAUCAUAGCUUUGACCAGUCUCACAGUCCCUGUCGCUGAAAAAACCUACCAUUGAUAUGAUAUUGCACAGGAGAUGAACGAUACCUGGUUUCCUCCAGACAUUACAAGGCUAAACAGUUCAAUCUUCCUUGUAUCAGUCCAGAGAACCCUGUUUCUUACAGUUCUUUAACUGCUCCUUUGCAAAUUCCAUUGGUGUUUCAUGUGUCUUGCAGUGACGAGAGGCUUUCAUGUAGACAGUCUGCUGUAUCCUUCUACAAGGUUCUCACAUCUCCACACAUGAUUUCUGGAGCUUAUCCAAAGUGACCAUUGGGUUCUUGGUCACCAAUCUUACCAAGGCCCUUGUCCCCUGUUUGCUCAGUUUGCCAAGGCAAUCAGCUCUAGAAAGAGUCCUGGCAGUUCCAAACUUCUUCCAUUUAAGAAUUAAGGAGGCCACUGUCUUCUUGGGAACAUUUAAUGCAAUUGAAACGCUGUGUCAAAGCUAAAAUUUGUAGUUUAUCUAAAAAUAUGAAAUAGUUUGAAAUGUUUAUCCAUCAAUGGCCUUGAUUUGAUAUUGUUUGAUACGUUUUCUUAGAUGAUAUAAUAUUAUAAAAAUAUUAACAUUUUGUAAUAGUGUAUUAAAU